AAGACUAUACUUUCAGGGAUCAUUUCUGUAGUUUGUUGCUAGAGAAGUUUCUCUGAUCACGUAGAGCACCCAAAACCCUGAGGAGGAGAGACAGCGUUCUGUCCCGAGCGUGAAGCUGGCUCUCAGUGUUGCUUCAGCAACUGGCAUCUGCCAUUGAUGAUCAUUCUUUUUCUCUCCUCGGAGAGAAUGAGAGGAAAAGAAUGAGUUCUGAGUGGC